AUUGAACGCUGGCGGCGUGCCUAACACAUGCAAGUCGAGCGGUAACAGGUGUAGCAAUACAUGCUGACGAGCGGCGAACGGGUGAGUAAUGCUUCGGAAUCUGCCCAUGUAGUGGGGAAUAACCAGCCGAAAGGUUGGCUAAUACCGCAUACGACCUACGGGUGAAAGCAGGGGAUCGCAAGACCUUGCGCUAUUGGAUGAGCCGAAGUCGGAUUAGCNGUUGGUAGGGUAACGGCCUACCAAGGCGACGAUCCGUAGCUGGUCUGAGAGGACGACCAGCCACACUGGGACUGAGACACGGCCCAGACUCCUACGGGAGGCAGCAGUGGGGAAUAUUGGACAAUGGGGCAACCCUGAUCCAGCGACGCCGCGUGUGUGAAGAAGGCCUG
rnacentral:rRNA from 1 species